ACAGGAGAGACACAGAGUCACCCCAACGCCCCACAAGGCUGGCCUGGGUCGGGGCACAAUCCACUUUAACAGCAGUGAUUCACCAGAAAUCAUCUCAACAGGUAAGGACAGAGCCCUGACAGCAAGGCUCUCGCGCCAGGUGGAAACCAGGGUCCUAGAUGGGCAAGCACUUUCUCGGCCUGCUCUUCCACACCUCCGAAGGGCUGGUUCAAGCUCUGCCUGCAGCCCUCCUAGCUGGGCAGCCUCGGGCCAGGCACUUUGCCCCUUUGAGCCUCAGUUUCCACAUCUGCAGUCUUACGUGGGAACAUACUUUGCAAAUUACAAUGAGGCCCAGGGCCUUGAUCCUAACGUUGCUGCCAUUACUAAGACGGGUGCAGAAGAGGCAGAGCUCGCUGCCCGGCCUCCCUCCUGCACCUGCCUCGCCGCCGCCUUCCCCUCCACCCAGGAUAAGGCAAGGUGGUGUGGUGGUUAGACACGUGGGUGCCAGUGCCAAGAUCCACACGUGCCGGCGGUGUGGCCUGGGAGGAGUACUUCUCUAAGCCUCAGUUUCCAUCUGGAAACGGAGUAGCAGCCUGAGGGGCUGCACGGAGGAUAAGGCAGACAACGCGUGGGGAACGCCUGGCUCACACCGCCGCCAGGCUCAGCGGUGCCACCGUCCCCACUGAUCUCAUUCCCCGGCUCUCGGGCGCCCUGCGCGUGGCCGCUCCUGGAACCACCGCUGCAGAGUCAGCAGUGUGCAGCAAGCCCGAUCGACAGCCUGAGUUUGGUGGCUCUUCUGUGGCUUCACAGGUCUGUAUUUCUACCAUUUCCCCUGCGCCGCUGGAGGCUGAGCAUGGUGCUAUCUGUGUUCAUCACAGAAGGGCAUGUGGGGCUGCCUCCUCCGCACGGCCUCCUGAAGCAGCAGAGUUUAUGAAACAGGCAGAGGGUUCCUGUUUGGCCAAAGGGGCCGUGGGGGCUGGGGCCGGCCCCUCCCACCCAUGCCCUGCCUCGCCCCCAACAGCAGCCAGAGCCCAGCACGGACUCCCUGCAGCUCAGGAAUUACAGGUUAGAAGCACUGAGCUAAUGCAGCCCGCCCACCAUGCUGAUGGAGACCCAGCGCACAGGAGGGAAGCGACCUCCUCCGAGCCGUCUAGGGGACCGACAGAUCCCUCACGUGUGGUAACCUCGCCGCACGGUCUGCCUCAGCUCCCGGGGUCGCAACUUCAACCUUUCUCUAGUUCUUGGCGGUUUCAAAGAAAGCAAUGCUUUAUUUCAUUUGAUCUUGACAACUCUCCCCAGGGUAGAGAGGGCUGAGUCAUGCCCACUUUGUGGAAGAGGGAACAGGUCCAGGGAGACACAGGCUGGCCCGCUGGGCUGGGGAGAGUCAGCCUGGAGCGGCUUCGCUCAGGCGGGGCCUCCCCGCUCUGUCUCCCCAGACCUGACGGAAAGGAUGUUCUGGGCCAGGAAAGGGCACGGCCAAGACUCUAAAGCAUAUUUCAUCCCUCCAGCCUGGCCCGGGCUUAGUGAACAGGCCAGAAUCCCACCCGCCACUUCCACAUCAUGUCACAUUGCCAAGAAGAACAAGGUCAUUCAAGGCUGGACAAGGAGCCUCCUCCGGGCUCCCGCCCACACCGCCGUCCUGCCUCGGACAACUCUGGGUCGUCACUGGCUCUUGUCUGUGUCCCCUACUCGACACGGCUCCUCCAGAGAAACCUCAGUGAAGAUCACUCAUUCAGGAUUUCCAGGCACCCACUCUGUCGUACAGCUGGUGCUGGGAUGGAGCAGAGGGACGAGGAGGACACAGUCCUCACUCCCAAGGAGCGCACGGUCAAGGUGGAGGGGCACGGACGGGCAAUUCCAAGACCAUGGGACCACUGUGGUGCUGGGGAGGGAAGCACCUCCUCCCGCUUGAGUGGCCUGGGAGGUAGGAUAGUGUCCCACAAAAUUCGUGUCCACCCCUGACCUCAGAAUGUGACCUUGUUUGGAGACAGGGUCUUAGCAGAUGCAAGUGGUUAAGGGUCUCAAGAGGACAUCGUCCUGACUCAGGUGGGCCCUACAUCCAAAGACUGACGUUUUCAUAAGAGAAAGGAGAGGGAGGGCUGGACACAGACACACGGGGAGGAGCCACAUGACAACAGAGGCAGAGCCUGGAGUGACGCAACUACAACCCAAGAAACCGGAGCCACCAGGAGCUGGGAGA